GCGGACCCACAGGGAGCCGGGAGGCCGGGCCAAACCCAGCAGGGGCAGACCCAGCAGGAAAGAGGGUUGCUGUAAGGGAGAGAGAGCAAGAACCAACCCCCUCCUCCACACACACACACACACACACACCCUCGCACCAGGUCCGGGAGGUGGUAGCCAGGACCGGCUUUGCCCUGGGGAGAGUGCCUCGCACGCUUGGAGGGAGAACGAACACGGGGCAGCAGACGCGAAGUGGCUGGAAGGUGUUGUUGAAAGUGCCUAGUAAGCGGCAGCAUCUCAGACCAGCUGCCGGUCCUGUCUUCAUGUGAAUCAUUGAUGGCGUCUCCGGCCGGGUGUAACACCCUCGCAGGCUGGAGAACCUCCCGGACUGCGUGUCUCCCAGCACACCUCGGCUGGGGCCUUAGACGGAAAUACACACGAUGGUUUUGGAGUGGAUCAUCGCACAGGGCUGUUUGCGAAGGGUGCCUGGAGAGACGCGGUCACUCGUCAGACUCCCGGCUGCUGGCUAAGGAUACAGGAAAGUAAUGCAACAGGAGAAGAACUGAUCAUUGAACAAAUAUUUUUUUCUCUGGAACUUGGAUUUUGCAAGAGCUAGCACCUCAGGUGCACGGGGACGGCCAUUCCAUUAUCCCAGCGUCAGGGCUCCAGGGGGAAAGGCUGACGACAUUUUCCAUUGGGACAGCCGGCCCUUGUCUGAGCUUACUCUCUGGCGGCUGAGCUCCCCUCUGACUUCUCCCGGCUCCGCCGAGCGCCAGGGCAAACACGGAGUUCGGGCCCUGUGCUGCAGAGCUGUGAACGCAAGAACGUCUGAACGGAGAAAUAGAUUUGGAAAUUGUACUUCCCGUGUAUGGUUUAUUGACACAGAAAUGGCUCCCAGGCCCGCCCACGGUCAUCAUGCCAGCACUAGGAAAGAACCAGAAAGCAAACUGGGGACAUCUGAGAAUGUGCUGUUUCAUUUUAUUUUUAUUUUUUAUUAUUAUUUUAAAACUUACUUUAUAUGUAUCAUUUUAUUGUUUUUAAUCCUUACCCGAGGAGGGGGUGUUUAUUGAUUUU